rnacentral:rRNA from 1 species
CUUUUGAUGGCGACCGGCGCACGGGUGAGUAGCACGUAUCCAACCUGCCUCAUACUCGGGGAUAGCCUUUCGAAAGAGAGAUUAAUACCCGAUGUUAUAGUCCUACCGCAUGAUGGGAUUAUUAAAGAAUUUCGGUAUGGGAUGGGGAUGCGUUCCAUUAGUUAGUUGGCGGGGUAACGGCCCACCAAGACAACGAUGGAUAGGGGUUCUGAGAGGAAGGUCCCCCACAUUGGAACUGAGACACGGUCCAAACUCCUACGGGAGGCAGCAG